AGCAGCCGCGGUAAUUCCAGCUCCAAUAGCGUAUAUUAAAGUUGUUGCAGUUAAAAAGCUCGUAGUUGAAUUUCAGGCCUGGCUGGACGGUCCGCCCUUCGGGUGAGUACUGUCUGUGGUCGGGUCCUACCUUCUGGCGAAGCGUCAUGGCCUUAACCGGCCGUGGCGGGGAACCAGGACUUUUACUGUGAAAAAAUUAGAGUGUUCAAAGCAGGCAAAUCGCUUGGAUACAUUAGCAUGGAAUAAUGGAAUAGGACGAUGGUUCUAUUUGUUGGUUUCUAGGACCGUUGUAAUGAUUAAUAGGGAUAGUUGGGGGCAUUAGUAUUCAAUUGUCAGAGGUGAAAUUCUUGGAUUUAUUGAAGACUAACUACUGCGAAAGCAUUUGCCAAGGAUGUUUUCAUUAAUCAAGAACGAAAGUUAGGGGAUCGAAGACGAUCAGAUACCGUCGUAGUCUUAACCAUAAACUAUGCCGACUAGGAAUCGGGCGAUGUUGACAAAAUGACGCGCUCGGCACCUCAU
rnacentral:rRNA from 1 species